UCCUACGGGAGGCAGCAGUCGGGAAUAUUGCGCAAUGGAGGAAACUCUGACGCAGUGACGCCGCGUGCAGGAAGAAGGUUUUCGGAUUGUAAACUGCUUUUGUUAGAGAAGAUAAUGACGGUAUCUAACGAAUAAGCACCGGCUAACUCCGUGCCAGCAGCCGCGGUAAUACGGAGGGAGCAAGCGUUACUCGGAAUCACUGGGCGUAAAGAGCGCGUAGGCGGGAUAGCAAGUCAGAUGUGAAAUCCUAUGGCUUAACCAUAGAACUGCAUUUGAAACUGUUAUUCUAGAGUAUGGGAGAGGUA
rnacentral:rRNA from 1 species